AAGAAGCGCCUAAUGAAAAUUUUGUCUAACCCAUUUGCCUCCUCUGCCCCUCUCUUUCAGACUCCACUAUCUUUCCUUCUCUCACUCUCUCUCACACUAUGUCUCUAAUCCAUUCAGCCGCUGGAUCACCACGAUCUGUACGAUUCUUGAUGCUCCUUCUCCCUCACGCGAUUUUUGCUGCUCAGUCUCCCCCUUCUCCCUCAUGCAAGUCUUGCUGCUCCUUCUCCUUCACGGCAUUUCUCCUGCUGGAAGCAAAAACCCAGGCAAGAGCACUCUAACCUCGUUUGUCUAUGUGAGGUAUUUUUUUAAUUUAAGAUUGCAAUUUAAUAUCAGAUAAUCACUGAUUCGAAAGCUCGCUUGUAAUGACGCUAUCGAAAUCGGACCUCCCAGCGAUAUACUCGUUCUUGACCGAUUCAUUGAGUGGCGACGAAAUCGUCCGCAAGCCAGCAGAGGAGGCUCUCUCUCAGUGCGAGGCUAGGCCCAGCUUUUGCUCUUGUCUCAUGUGUGGUAUUGCUGCCAACGGUCAAAAACCAAAACCCUAACUCGGUGUUGGUGAUUGCGUUUUGAGCCACGAACGAGGGGAGGUACUAUACAGUGGAUUGCGGAAACCCUAUUAUUUGGGGGAACCGAAGCUUUUCGAAUUGAAGUUUUACGCAAUGGGAGCUGUUAAGUUGGAACUUCGUUGUCCCCAAACUGUUGAGGGAAUUGCUGCCGACCCUGGACCUGAUUGGAGCUUCAAUGCUCUUUUAACAGAGCUUAAUGCAUUGGAAACAAAACUUAGUAGCUCUUCCAAAGUCCCUUUUAACAGAGCUUAAUGCAUUGGAAACAAAAACAGAGAAUAUGUCUCUUUUCUCACAUACACUAUACAUGUAUAGAUAUGAUAUGAGAUAUGGUUCUUCAUAUCAAGGGACUAGAAAUGUUGUGCAUGCAUUGUUACUAAAAUACACUUUUUGACGGAAGUGUGUAGAAUUUUAUUCUGUUGAGUAUAUAGAAAUCAUGUGGGGAGUUCUUAUAUUGUUCACUAGUCAUUUCAUUAAAUGGUUUAUGUAUAAAACUGCAUCCUAAGAAGCAACUAGAAUGAGGGGUAAAGUGGUAAAAUAAUAGAAUAUAGGUAAUAGAGGGGUAUGUGGGUAACUGUAGUAUGUAGGGCAAAAUAGAAAUAUUGUAUUACACUUGUUUCAAAAAGUUCU